rnacentral:RNase_P_RNA from 1 species
AAUACAAGCUGUUCUAUCGCCGCGAUCUUGUAUCGGGGAGGAAAGUCCGGGCAACAUAGAGCAUCUCGCUUCCUAACGGGAAGGCAUUUGGGAAUGAAGACCUAAAUGACGGAAAGUGCCACAGAAAAUAUACCGUCUCAACGUAAAGUCGGGAUAAGGGUGAAAACGUGAGGUAAGAGCUCACGAACUCGUUAAGUGAUUAACGUUUUGGUAAACCUCGGGAGUUGAAAGACCAAAUAGGCUAACGCAUGUAGAGCUGCUCGCUCGAUGUUAGUGGGUAGGUCGUUAGAGAUAAAUGGCAACGUUUAUAGUAGAUUAAUGGUAGAAUUUCGAUUUAUCGGAAACAGAACCCGGCUUACAGGCUUGUAUUUUUU